rnacentral:rRNA from 1 species
UACGUAGGGCGCAAGCGUUGCUCGGAAUCACUGGGCGUAAAGCGCACGUAGGCGGCUUUUUAAGUCAGGGGUGAAAUCCUGGAGCUCAACUCCAGAACUGCCUUUGAUACUGGCGACCUUGAGUUCGGGAGAGGUGAGUGGAACUGCGAGUGUAGAGGUGAAAUUCGUAGAUAUUCGCAAGAACACCAGUGGCGAAGGCGGCUCACUGGCCCGAUACUGACGCUGAGGUGCGAAAGCGUGGGGAGCAAACAGG